rnacentral:rRNA from 1 species
UACGUAGGGUGCGAAGCGUUAAUCGGUAAUUGACUGGGCGUAAAGGCGUGCGCAGGCGGUGAUGUAAGACAGGAUGUGAAAUCCCCGGGCUCAACCUGGGAACUGCAUUUGUGACUGCAUCGGCUGGAGUACGGCAGAGGGGGAUGGAAUUCCGCGUGUAGCAGUGAAAUGCGUAGAUAUGCGGAGGAACACCGAUGGCGAAGGCAAUCCCCUGGGCCUGUACUGACGCUCAUGCACGAAAGGCGUGGGGAGCAAACAGG